AUUGAACGCUGGCGGCAGGCUUAACACAUGCAAGUCGAGCGGGGGAAGGUAGCUUGCUACCGGACCUAGCGGCGGACGGGUGAGUAAUGCUUAGGAAUCUGCCUAUUAGUGGGGGACAACAUCUCGAAAGGGAUGCUAAUACCGCAUACGUCCUACGGGAGAAAGCAGGGGAUCUUCGGACCUUGCGCUACUAGAUGAGCCUAAGGCGGAAUAGGUAGUGGGUGGGGUAAAGGCCUACCAAGGCGACGAUCUGCAGCGGGUCUGAGAGGAUGAUCCGCCACACUGGGACUGAGACACGGCCCAGACUCCUACGGGAGGCAGCAGUGGGGAAUAUUGGACAAUGGGGGGAACCCUGAUCCAGCCAUGCCGCGUGUGUGAAGAAGGCCUUAUGGUUGUAAAGCACUUUAAGCGAGGAGGAGGCUACUUUAGUUAAUACCUAGAGAUAGUGGACGUUACUCGCAGAAUAAGCACCGGCUAACUCUGUGCCAGCCGCCGCGGUAA
rnacentral:rRNA from 1 species